rnacentral:tRNA from 1 species
GACCCCAUCGUCUAAUCAGCCAAGACCUUCGACUUUCUAUCGAAGAAUGCCGGUGCGAAUCCGGCUGGGGUUGCCA